AUUGAACGCUGGCGGCAUGCCUUACACAUGCAAGUCGAACGGCAGCACGGGAGCAAUCCUGGUGGCGAGUGGCGAACGGGUGAGUAAAGUAUCGGAACGUGCCCAGUCGUGGGGGAUAACGUAGCGAAAGUUACGCUAAUACCGCAUACGAUCUAUGGAUGAAAGCGGGGGAUCGCAAGACCUCGCGCGAUUGGAGCGGCCGAUAUCAGAUUAGGUAGUUGGUGGGGGAAAGGCUCACCAAGCCGACGAUCUGUAGCUGGUCUGAGAGGACGACCAGGCACACUGGGACUGAGACACGGCCCAGACUCCUACGGGAGGCAGCAGUGGGGAAUUUUGGACAAUGGGCGAAAGCCUGAUCCAGCCAUGCCGCGUGCAGGAUGAAGGCCUUCGGGUUGUAAACUGCUUUUGUACGGAACGAAAAGGUUUGGCCUAAUAAGCUGAGCUCAUGACGGUACCGUAAGAAUAAGCACCGGCUAACUACGUGCCAGCAGCCGCAGUAA
rnacentral:rRNA from 1 species